rnacentral:rRNA from 1 species
UAACUGACGCUCAUGGACGAAACUUAGGGGAGCGAAAGGGAUUAGAUACCCCUGUAGUCCUAGCCGUAAACGAUGAACACUAGGUGUCGGGGGAAUCGACCCCCUCGGUGUCGUAGCUAACGCGUUAAGUGUUCCGCCUGGGGAGUACGCACGCAAGUGUGAAACUCAAAGGAAUUGACGGGGGCCCGCACAAGCGGUGGAGUAUGUGGUUUAAUUCGAUGCAACGCGAAGAACCUUACCAGGGUUUGACAUCCUGCGAAUCCCUUAGAAAUUUGGGAGUGCCUUCGGGAGCGCAGAGACAGGUGGUGCAUGGCUGUCGUCAGCUCGUGUCGUGAGAUGUUGGGUUAAGUCCCGCAACGAGCGCAACCCACGUCUUUAGUUGCCAGCAUUGAGUUGGGCACUCUAGAGAGACCGCCGGUGAUAAACCGGAGGAAGGUGUGGAUGACGUCGAGUCAUCAUGCCCCUUACAUCCUGGGCUACACACGUACUACAAUGCUACGGACAAAGGGUUGCAAACUCGCGAGAGCUAGCUAAUCCCAUAAACCGUGGCUCAGUUCAGAUCGUAGGCUGCAACUCGCCUACGUGAAGGAGGAAUCGCUAGUAAUCGCAGGUCAGCAUACUGCGGUGAAUACGUUCCCGGGCCUUGUACACACCGCCUGUCACACCAUGGAAGUUGGCCACGCCCGAAGUCGUUACUCCAACCCGCAAGGGAGGAGA